UGGGGAAUCUUGGACAAUGGGGGCAAGCCUGAUGCAGCAAUGCCGCGUGAGUGAAGACGGCCUUAGGGUUGUAAAACUCUUUCGCUAGGGAAGAUAAUGACGGUACCUAGUAAAGAAGUCCCGGCUAACUCCGUGCCAGCAGCCGCGGUAAUACGGAGGGGGCUAGCGUUGUUCGGAAUUACUGGGCGUAAAGCGCGCGUAGGCGGACUGAUCAGUCAGGGGUGAAAUCCCGGGGCUCAACCCCGGAACUGCCUUUGAUACUGUCAGUCUUGAGUCCGGAAGAGGCGAGUGGAAUACCGAGUGUAGAGGUGAAAUUCGUAGAUAUUCGGUGGAAACACCAGUGGCGAAGGCGACUCGCUGGUCCGGUACUGACGCUGAGGUGCGAAAAGCGUGGGGAGCAAACAGGAUUAGAUACCCUGGUAGUCCACGCCGUAAAACGAUGAGUGCUAGUCGUCGGCAGGCAUGCCUGUCGGUGACGCAGCUAACGGAUUAAGCAUUCCGCCUGGGAGUACGGUCGCAAGAUUAAAACUCAAAUGAAUUGACGG
rnacentral:rRNA from 1 species